GCCAGUUUACCCCCCUUUUCCUCCCAGACAGCCUACUUUCAUCACAGUGCACAAUUGAAAUUGGAGACCACUUGGGCUUCCUUACUUUGAAAGAGCUCAGAAGCAACCUUUACAACUUCUAAUGAAAUGCUGCAGAGAAGAACUGAAAUUAAGUCAGCAGAGUUCACGAUUUGUCUUGGAGCAGAGCCUAAUUCAGUUUAUAAUGCAAGGUCUAUGCUGGAGUCCCAGCAUCAGUGUUAUAUCCAUCUGUCCUGAGAAAAAUCUGAUGAGAAUUUUUCCUGAUUAAGUUCAUGUCUUAGUCUCUAGAAGAAAACCUGAACAACCAGGUUGGAGUGGAAUUUGCCAUACAGAAUUAUGGACUCAUCUUACAUAACUACUGUCAGCAAAUUUCCUCACAAUGUCCUGAUCAGUUUGUUUGCCUUCUACAGCACUUUGGCACUUUAGUUUGCUCUUUCCCUG